AGGAACACGAGUUUGUUUUCCUGGCACUAUAGUGGUCCUUUAAUAAAAGACUGCAUAUUGCAAAGGUAUAUGAAACAAUACAGAGAAAGAAAGACAUUUUAAACACAUUUAGUACAUUUCUUUGUAAUGUAAGCUGCAAAAAUACAGAGAAUUACUGGCCCCACUUAUUAGGUUCACGCAGAGUGCUCCACUUGUCAGUAAUUAUUCAAUGAGUGUCCCUACUAAUUUGUUUUAACUGGAAACUCUGGGCAUCUAUACAAUAAUCA